rnacentral:rRNA from 1 species
ACUUACCAACCCGAUGCAAACUACGAAUACCGGAGAAUGUUAUCACGGGAGACACACGGCGGGUGCUAACGUCCGUCGUGAAGAGGGAAACAACCCAGACCGCCAGCUAAGGUCCCAAAGUCAUGGUUAAGUGGGAAACGAUGUGGGAAGGCCCAGACAGCCAGGAUGUUGGCUUAGAAGCAGCCAUCAUUUAAAGAAAGCGUAAUAGCUCACUGGUCGAGUCGGCCUGCGCGGAAGAUGUAACGGGGCUAAACCAUGCACCGAAGCUGCGGCAGCGACGCUGAUGCGUUGUUGGGUAGGGGAGCGUUCUGUAAGCCUGCGAAGGUGUGCUGUGAGGCAUGCUGGAGGUAUCAGAAGUGCGAAUGCUGACAUAAGUAACGAUAAAGCGGGUGAAAAGCCCGCUCGCCG